rnacentral:lncRNA from 1 species
AGCACCCCUCUCUCUUUUGUACUCUCUAACCCUCUCUUGUAAAAAUAUUUUGAGUGUGGAAUAAAAGAUCUUUGCUUCUGAGCACAAUCCAUCCGUCUUAAGGUUAAUUUAAAUUUUUGUUUUGUUUUAAUUUUAAUUUAAACUUUAUUGUUUCUAGCCUAUGAUGGGCUAAAUUCCUAGUGUUGAACUGUAACAGAAUAUGUUACAUGUAUGAAAUGGCAUCUUGUUAUUAAUAAGAAUUGUAAGCCUUUAUUGUUGCAGAGGUCUGUAUGUUAGGAUGCUGCAGUUAUGAGUACAAUUUUGGCAUAAUGUCGGAUGUCCCUGUAAAGGCCGAUUAGCCAAGUGGGCGUGAAGGACCGUAAUUGGGAAUUGGUUUUAAGAUUUGACUCAUGACUAAUAUUAAACUAACAUAUAGUGAAGGUACCUACUGCAACAGUGAAGCGAUCCGGUUCUACUUUGUAUAAUAAUAGUAGUAGUAAUAGUAAUAGUAAAAAAAUAAAUAAAUAAUAAUAAUAAUAAUAAUAAUAAUAAUAAUAAUAUAAUAAUAAUAAUAAUAGACAAUAGUAGUAAUAGUAAGUACUCACAAAAAGAUAAAUUAGUAGUACACCAAAAACUUUCAUGUAUAUAUAAGAGUAAUAGAGUCUUUAUUAUUGAUUAUAUAGUUAUUGUGGUCUUUUCAGUUAUAAGUUAUUGUUUGAAUGCUCUAUCAGGUCUUUUUUCUAUUAAAUUGUGUUUUACUUUAGUAAUGCAGUCGCAUCGGAUAACGCAUCGCAUAAUGGUGAUUUGAAGCCUUGUUAUUUUUUCCCACAUCAUAUUUUCCUGAACCCUGCUCUGACAAGCAAAAAAUUUAAGAAGAAUUAAAUCAAAAUUGGUAAAUGAGUGUUGAAUCGUGGUAAUUUGAUGAAAAUUAAAGAGAAAUUGGAGAAAAACACGAUUUGAAGUAGUUACCAUGAAUUUUGGUUAGAAGGUAUCUGACAGAUACUUUAACUGUGAAUGACCAAAUUUUAAGGGAGAAGUUACAUCUUUAAUGGAUUAGGUAAUGUAUCAAGUAUAAUGGAGAGACAAAUAUUACAACUAAAAAUUACAUAUAUACACAAGGUAACUUUACUUUAUUACAUAAAAUCUCAUAUUGAAAAUAAAUUACAAAAAUCCCAAAUUAAUUACUUAAAUCCCUACCUUUUUUAUUUUCUCUCUCUUCCUUCUUAUACAUCCCAAAUAGCUCCAUAUUUUCCUCCUAAAAUCUUUCUACCUUAUCUCUCUAAUUAUCUAUCUGCAUUAAACCUCCUUAUUAUCUCUCCACACCCAUAAAUUUUGAUCUACAAUAAUCUCUCUCCAAAAAAAAUCUUCUGCAUUUUCUCCGUCCAAAAUCAACAAACUCUUCUCCGUUCAAAAUUAUCUUUUCUCCGUCCAAAAUUGAUAAAAAUCUUCUCCAUUUUCAUCAAAAACCCAGAAAAAAACAACAAUUUCAUCCAAUAUAUGCUUCUCUGAAUCUGGGAAUAUAUGCUUAUCUGAAUUUCAUCAAAAACAAAUUAAGUUGAAUUUUCUCCAUUUAAUGGUCGCGUAUUGUUAUUUCCGUUGUUGGUUUCUUUCUUGGUUCUUUUGAUUAUGAAAAAUCCAAUUUUGUAGAGAACCGUUCGAAGCACCGAAACGAUCCAGUAACAAUGAAGAAAUUGAGGGAAGUUAUCAUUUCAAGUUCAAACAAGAAAGCUCCAAAAUCGUCAAGUAAGAAAAAGGUUGAUGAUUUUGGACGACCACGUCUGCCGAAGGUUUAGCUAUCAUUAAAAUAUGUAUUAGCAGCACUAUUUUAUGUAUAAGAUUUCAUUAUACAGUUGUUAAGAUUAUAUAGUGACUUGUAUAAGGUGUUCGUAAACAUGUG